rnacentral:lncRNA from 1 species
CACUUCAGUAGCUCAGCGGGGUCCCGUCCUCGGAGCCAGCGGCGUCGCGGGGCCCCCGGGCAGCCGGGGCCAGUCGUGCCGGCCUCGGCUGUUUGCUUGCCCGGGAAUGAGGUGCUGGUGACAAGGAGGUGCCGACCUGAUCCCGGGGGAGCGACAGCCCGGUGCGCCCGGCCGCGGCGGGAUGCCGGGACGGCCGCGGGCGCUCGCCGCGCGCCGCAUCCAAAGAAGGAGCUGGGAGAGCAGGACGCGGCGCCUCGGCUGCCUGCGCGGCGGGAGCGCGGCCAGGGCGUCCCUUGGACCCGGGCGCCGCUGCGCCGGAGGCGACGGGAUGGCGGGGCUCCCGCGCGGGAUGGGAGCUGCCGCCGAGCCCCGUUCUCCUCCAAACCGGAGCCGGCUUCCUCCUUGCCAGCUCCAGCAGCAGGAAACGGCGCCCCGGAGCAGGUGAGCGGGGAGCCGGCCCCGAGCAGGCGGCGACGCGUGAAAUCAGCUGGUUCCAGCGCCCGCGGCAGGCAGCCGGCGUGCUCCCCGUCCGACGCCUCUUCCCUCUCUCUCUCUGCUCUCGUUUUUUCAUGGGGGCGGCCAAAUUCUGCGGGUCGCAGCGGGGAUGUGGGGCGGCCGCCCGUCGCCCCUCGCGGAGCAUCCGCGCGCCUCCUGCACGUCCCCGGGGCAGAAAUAAAUCGCAGACGGGUGCUGGGGGGGUCUGUUAGCCGAACCGCAGCAAAAAAGCGGCCUCAGAAUUGGGGGGAGCCCCCGCACGCCGGCAUCUCCGCUGGCCCCGUCUCGGCACGGAGCCGCGGGUCCCCGGCCGGCUCCCGGCCCUGCCGCCGCGGGGGGCAGCUGGAGCUCGGGGGGCAGCUGGCAGCUUCGGGGGCCGGUGGUCGCCCCGGCCGCUCUCGCCACGGCUGCGGCAGGCUGCUGCUCUCCCCUCCGGAAAACGCGCCCUCCUCUCCCUCUCCCCCCCCUCGCUGGCACCGCUCAGCUGCUGGGAGCUGGCCGGUCUCCACGGCUGCUCCGGCGGAGGAGCCGGGCCGCACUGGGGAUUCGGUUACGCCCGGAUUUCCCUCCCCAUCGAGAGGUUCAAGGGGUCUGUCCGAGCCCCUGUCCUGGUGCUGGGCGCCGUGGGGGCAUCGGGGAACGAUGGGCAGCCCCGGGGAUGGAGCCGGCGCGGGAAAAGCAGGAGCCGGGAGCUGGGGCUGGGCAGCAGCUGCCCGACGGGCACGGCCGGAGCGGGACGGGCUCCAGCGAGGUCCCUGCCGUGCACCGGCGCCCGCUCGCCCCGUUUCCAUCAUCCGUAACCAGCCCUGUAACCAGACUUUCGCCUCCGUGCAGAGACGGGGAKAG